GCAUAGCACAACGCAUAAUAAAAUAUCAUACAUUGAUAAAACACUGUCAGUGAGUACUAUUUAACUCAGUCAUUUCUUCAAUGCCUUCUCAUACACUAGUUGCAUCAUUAUGGCGGUUAAAUAAAGAAAAAUAAUUGUUUUGACAAUAUAUAAUUGUAAAGAUCUCUUCUGCAGAAACAAUCUAAUGACAGUCCCCUCGCUAUAUAUCUAUGAAACUAUCAAAUUUGCUUUCUCCUACAACUUUGUAAAUCAGGAGGAUUUAACACCUAAACAUUCAUAUAAUAGCAGGCACUAUAAUAUAAGUAAUCUUAGAAUAAGACUUACCAAAUCAGAAAGCAAUGUAAAUUUCUCUGAUAUACAGCUCUUUAAUGCCCUACUGCUUUCACUAAAACUAUCAUUUAAAAAUGACCAUCCAAAUGUAUUCCUUAAACUUCUUAAAAAAUUCUGCCUAAAAAAAGCGUUCUACCACAUAAAUGAGUUUCUAGGUGAUAGCUAAAUACAGAGAUGUCUGAGUUAAGAUUGUUUCUGAAGAAUUUCUGUAUAUAACUGUUAAAUACUCAACAGUUGAAAACUAACCUAUUAUUGUUGUAAAUUUUAUUGUACAUGUGUUUAAAUUAAGUGUUUUGAGGACAACACCUAACACGUACCAUAAGCAGUUUCAACAGCUUUUGUAUGUACUUAAUUGAAAAAAUAAAAUAAAUAAAAAUAAUAAAAUAAAUGGGCACAUACCUACAUUCUCAGGAUUUGGGAACAUCCCUAGUAGCCAAAAUAGUGCCAUAGAAUAGGUAUCGUACAGAUACCCUAUUUUAUAGGUGUUUAAUGGAUAUUUUAUGGGGUAUAAAAUAUACAUAUUUAGAUCCAUCUAUUUUAUAGGUAUUUUACAUGAUUUUUUGUAGGUGUAUCUCAUCAGCAUAUUUUCUACCUAUUAAUAAGUAUCAAAUCAAUUUCAUUUUUUAAGUUUCAUGGAAAUGGAAAUUUUCAUCUCUGCAUCCUCGUUUCGUGUUCGUGAUAAUGAUAAUGGUACCACGGUGGUUACUUGAUCGAACAUCUACGUCCUCACACCGGUUGUACUUUUCUACGUCAUCAAGAUGGCCGCUACAUCUGUAACCUGUAACGGUCUCUGCUCCGCCUUUGCACGAAUAUGAAUACGACGAAGACCAAGCCGACGCUGCCUAGAUGUUUCAAAGUUUUCAAGUUAUUUUAUAUUUAUUUCAAUAAAUACUUCAUUACUAUCAGCUCCGUGGCAGGAAUUUGUUCAUUGCUUAAUUUAUUCAUCUUAUCUGUUUGCCGGAGUAAGUAGCUAAUUUUACUUUUUUGUCGUACCUUUUUUCAUGCCAACCUCACGUUUCCUGUAGGUGACAUAGGAUGUAAUUCUACCUGUUCUUUGCGAGUAUAUAUCUGGGUGCCUCAUGCGAGUAAAAUAUUCCUCUAGACGAUGGCCCCAACUAUCUCUUAUGAAUCUUGUUCGACAAGAAUCAAGCAUCAAAAUACAUUUCUGAGACCAGCGCUACUAACCCAUUAUUUGCAGUGGGGCUUAAUCGUUCAUGUGGAUCCCGAUUCUAGGUUAGGUCCUUCAAAUACUUCAAAAACUUUUUAAUAAUUGGGUAUUGAAAUUAUAAGAAGUUAUGCAUGCAUUUACUACCAUGUGCCAUUUCUUACUGCAGUUACAAAGUUGAGUGGAGAGGCUACGUCAAAUAAGUGUACGCACUCCUUUGCUGGGACGGAAGAUAAUCUUUCAUCAAUUUAGCAUUGAAAAAAAGGGCAAAAGUGAGAUGGUGAAUCCGCUGUUGCACUCUGAAGGUGCUAAUCUUAUUUGGAGCGGACUCUUAUCACGAAUAGAAACUUCCUAACUAUUGCAGGCGAGUGCUCCAGUAAGUCUGUAGGAACAUCCAUGAACAUCUUCACACCACCUGCAUUUUCCUUGUGUCUUCAAAAGAAUGAAGUAUACUUAAAGUUUGGUUGCAUCUACUUCAUCUCUUGUAGGACAUAUGAAAGUUGUCUGAUUUUAAAAUAUCUAGAAUCACUAGAGCUUCAACACGAAUGAACUGUUCUGUGUAUCAGAAACUCAAUGUAUCCCAGCAACAUUGGAUGGUGGGUCCCUGAGUUUUAAAUUUUAUCGACUGGUGGACUGUGUUUCAUUCAGUGGCUCAGACCGGUAAGUAGUAAAGUGGUCAAUUUUUAAGUUUUUCUUAGCCCUCCCUCCAGAAGGAAGAGUCCAACUCUCACUUUGAAUUCGUUCUGUUAUCAAAUGGUGGAUGAUUUAUUGUAAUGUAUCUUAAGGUAUGUCUCUAUUGACGGUCAUUAAUUGUAGGUAGAUUAAUUGGAUGAUCUGUCUCUUGCUUGGUAUUUUUGCAGAUCGACACUUCCAGGAACUUGCCAUAUCAGAUGUACAUUGCUGCUUAGUGCCAUUCGCUCUGUGUCUCUCGACAUUCCCUGUCAUGUGUUGAAGGAACUCCGGGUAGAGAAUCGACGGCUACCUUCAUAUCAUCAAUGAUCAGAAGUGCUUUAGAUUUUUCUACAAUGCACCCAUAUGGUUUCAAGUGUUCCUCGGUACUUAUACCAGUUCUACUUGUUCGGAUUCAUUGUUGCAAAGUGGAUUUUCUUGACCCAAUUGAUUACAAGCAAGUUGAUUUCAGAUGCGAAGUCAAAAAAGUCCCCCGGUCAAAAGGGGGUACCCCAUAUCCAAGAUAGCAGCCAAUGUUGAAAGACAAGAGGGUGGAUUUUUAAAAAGUUCGCGUGAUAAGGCGAGUGAGGUUUAACAGGAAUAUGAGACUCAACUGAAAGAGCUCUGCAGUGCUCUGACUAAGAUGUGCCUAAUCCUUUCAUCAAAUUCAGGGAUCGCGAAGUAAAGAUGAAGCUCACCUGGAUACCAACAGCAUUCCAUCUUGCU